AAGUUGACAAAGGAAACCGCAUGACGGGGUGUUUUGCUUGUUCCACAGUUCGGGUGGUACCAGGUUUCCACAGGUUGCAUUUGAUUAGCUGCCGCUUUAU